GUGUCUUCGUAUUGCCCUCUGGCUACUCAGAGUCCUCUUCCCAAUACUAUUAAUACUAUAGAAGUGAAAGUAUUCUUUCUUUCCCAAGCCAGUCAUUCUCUAAGUGCUCCUGGUUUCAAGUAAUUAUUGCUUUACUUAAAAUAAUUUGUUAGAAGAUACAGUCUCUUAGAGUAGGGCAAACAUAGGUAUGAUUCAUUUGAAAAACCCUAAAUCCUAAGUGAUGAGGGUUCUUAUAUGUUGCUUCUCAAUGAGAUGUCAGUCCUGAAGGGAAGGCUUCCUCUACUGUGGCCUAACUCUGAUGGUUUAUAUACAUCCAGGUAAUUCUGAGAGGUACGAGGCACUGUAGGGAUUUUACCUCAUAUCUGCCACACAUUCAUGAGUAAUUGAGUGUAGUUCCAGUUACUGUAACCCUUUUUUCACCCUGUACUUCAGCCAUUCUGUAUUUUGCUUUAAGUCUUUAUCUUUCUAACCUUCCUGCUUUAUAAGGAGACUAGUUAGAGCCUAACAUGUUAGGAGGAUAAAACAAAGGUCCACAUGCUGCCGCCCCCGCCCCCCACUUCCUGCACACACACAUUUAUAUAUCCAGAAGCCUGGC
rnacentral:lncRNA from 1 species